AUCCAAUUGACAAGUCCCAAAUCGGACGAAACGCUUGUCUUAGAU
rfam:Schistosoma rodhaini strain Burundi genome assembly, scaffold: SROB_scaffold0000726